UACGGGGGGGGCAGGCGUUGUUCGGAAUUACUGGGCGUAAAGGGUGCGUAGGCGGCCGUGCAAGUCUGGCGUGAAAGCCCCGGGCUCAGCCCGGGAAGUGCGCUCGAAACUGCGCGGCUCGAGUGCCGGAGGGGAGAGUGGAAUUCCUGGUGUAGCGGUGAAAUGCGUAGAUAUCAGGAGGAAUACCGGUGGCGAAAGCGACUCUCUGGACGGCAACUGACGCUGAGGCACGAAAGCGUGGGGAGCAAACAGG
rnacentral:rRNA from 1 species